rnacentral:rRNA from 1 species
GAUGAACGCUGGCGGCGUGCCUAAUACAUGCAAGUCGAGCGAACGGACGAGAAGCUUGCUUCUCUGAUGUUAGCGGCGGACGGAUGAGUAACACGUGGAUAACCUACCUAUAAGACUGGGAUAACUUCGGGAAACCGGAGCUAAUACCGGAUAAUAUUUUGAACCGCAUGGUUCAAAAGUGAAAGACGGUCUUGCUGUCACUUAUAGAUGGAUCCGCGCUGCAUUAGCUAGUUGGUAAGGUAACGGCUUACCAAGGCAACGAUGCAUAGCCGACCUGAGAGGGUGAUCGGCCACACUGGAACUGAGACACGGUCCAGACUCCUACGGGAGGCAGCAGUAGGGAAUCUUCCGCAAUGGGCGAAAGCCUGACGGAGCAACGCCGCGUGAGUGAUGAAGGUCUUCGGAUCGUAAAACUCUGUUAUUAGAGAAGAACAUAUGUGUAAGUAACUGUGCACAUCUUGACGGUACCUAAUCAGAAAGCCACGGCUAACUACGUG